GUUAAAAUCAUUGAUGAGGACUCUGCGCCGCGUGGGUUUGCAUUUCAUCUGGCGCAUUGUCUGCCCCCAGCUCCGAGGAGGAUGAUGGACUCACAGCCUGGCCUUGAGCUUUUCACUGGUCAUCUGCAGCCAUCUCCCACUGCUCUCCAGUGGGUAGCACUAAAGCUCAGCAGAUGCCCACAGGAGGAGCUGCUGAGGAGUCACAGCCACAUGUGGACAACCUCCUACCACAGCAAGGAGAGCUGCUGCUGUUCAAGGGCAGGGUCACAUUUCCAUUUCGUGGAGGCUUGGAAGGAGUCUCAGUGAGCUGUGCUGUAGAGCCUGGACGUGGGGAGAAGCAUUCAAAGUUACCCUGAUUUCUUAACCAAAAAAAAAGAUCAUCAGAGGAGCUGGGAGAGGAAAAAAAAGGUAUGUGAGGAUCAAAGGCAAUGAACUCUAUUAAGAA